rnacentral:rRNA from 1 species
CCUACGGGAGCAGCAGUAGGGAAUCUUCCGCAAUGGACGAAAGUCUGACGGAGCAACGCCGCGUGAGCGAAGAAGGUCUUCGGAUCGUAAAGCUCUGUUGUUAGGGAAGAACAAGUACCGGAGGGAAUGCCGGUACCUUGACGGUACCUGACGAGAAAGCCACGGCUAACUACGUGCCAGCAGCCGCGGUAAUACGUAGGUGGCAAGCGUUGUCCGGAUUUAUUGGGCGUAAAGGGCGUGUAGGCGGCUUCUUAAGUCCGGUGUGAAAGCCCACGGCUCAACCGUGGAGGGUCACUGGAAACUGGGGGGCUUGAGGGCAGGAGAGGAGAGCGGAAUUCCACGUGUAGCGGUGAAAUGCGUAGAGAUGUGGAGGAACACCAGUGGCGAAGGCGGCUCUCKGGCCUGGCUCUGACGCUGAGGCGCGAAAGCGUGGGGAGCAAACAGGAUUAGAUACCCUGGUAGUCCACGCCGUAAACGAUGAGUGC